rnacentral:lncRNA from 1 species
CCUAUUUUUAUCUAAGAGAGAUUUGAGAAACUGCUUCAAUCUCACACACAGCACACAAGAUUGUAACAACUCUCAUCCUUGUGGAGCUUGCAGCCUACUGGGGAAAAGUGAGUAUGUGGACACCGUGUGAUGGAAGAGAAGCUCUGGGCCUUUGGGCAGCCUUGGGACUUCCAAGAGGCCAUUGGAUUUAAAAUUUUCUUGUAUAGAAGGCAUGAACUCUUUUCUUGGAGAAAAGUGCAACUGACGAUUUGACUGUGGAAUCCCUGGCUAGGCUGAGCCCUUGUUUUGGCGCUAUCUGCAAGUUUUCUACAUUGAGUACAUGUGAUGUUUAUGACAAGAACAGAAGAAUGGUGAUCAUCAUGGGCCCUGAGUCUGCCAGGUGACACCGGGCGCUCUUCGUUUCAUCUCUCAGAGACGUCAGCCUUGCUGCCAAGCCUCACAGG